AAAAAAAAAAAAAAAAUCCUUGAGCACUACAACCAAAAAAUUGGGGAGACUUGGCAGUUUUGAUGAUGCUAUAGUGAUAAAAUCUUCACUUCAGUAAGAAUCUAGUAAAUCAACCUACAAUCAGUUACACAAUGAUAUUGUCCGUGCACACAAGGUUCUAAAUUCAUUUCCCACCCCUGCUCCAUUUAACAAACAGCAUGGGUACCCACCAUGGUGGGCAAUCAUGUCAACAAAUGCUACAUGGCAUUGUGAAUAGCCAAAAUUCUAAUUCAGAGAAUACUCCAUUGGACAUCUUAUCUUCAUGAAGUUUGCAUAUUGACCUAAAAGCAAACUGAAACUAUGUGUAACUACAGAUGACAACUUGCAGAGAGAAAUGCUUAAUGAGACCAAAAAAACUAAGCGAAGCAGAUUGAGUCAAACACUGAGACUUCCUAUAUAAGAAAUGCAAACUGAUGCUUACCAUUA
rnacentral:misc_RNA from 1 species